rnacentral:rRNA from 1 species
UACAGAGGUCUCAAGCGUUUGUUCGGAUUCAUUGGGCGUAAAGGGUGCGUAGGUGGCGCUGUAAGUCGGGUGUGAAAUUUCGGAGCUUAACUCCGAAACUGCAUUCGAUACUGCGGUGCUUUGAGGACUGGAGAGGAGACUGGAAUUCAUGGUGUAGCAGUGAAAUGCGUAGAGAUCAUGAGGAAGACCAGUGGCGAAGGCGGGUCUCUGGGCAUGUCCUGACGCUGAGGAGCGAAAGUGUGGGGAGCGAACAGG